CAGUAGCCACGGGAAUACGGAGGGUGCAAGCGUUAAUCGGAAUUACUGGGCGUAAAGCGCACGCAGGCGGUCUGACAAGUCAGAUGUGAAAUCCCCGGGCUUAACCUGGGAACUGCAUUUGAAACUGUCAGGCUGGAGUCUUGUAGAGGGGGGUGGAAUUCCAGGUGUAGCGGUGAAAUGCGUAGAGAUCUGGAGGAAUACCGGUGGCGAAGUCGGCCCCCUGGACAAAGACUGACGCUCAGGUGCGAAAGCGUGGGGAGCAAACAGGAUUAGAUACCCGAGUAGUCCCUGUCUCUUAUAC
rnacentral:rRNA from 1 species